rnacentral:tmRNA from 1 species
CUGUUAAACAUUUAGCUGAACUCGUCAAUAACGUCCUGGCCUUUGGGCUGUUAACGACUAAAUAAAUAGAAGGUGCUAAGCAUGUAGCGCCUGUUGCGUAAGAUUCGCGGACGCGGGUUCAAUUCCCGCCGCCUCCACCA